AGAACGAACGCUGGCGGCAUGCCUAACACAUGCAAGUCGGACGCUUUCGGGGGUUUCGGCCUCCGAGGGAGUGGCGGACGGGUGAGUAGCGCGUGGGAACCUGCCCCUUUGUGGGGGAUAACCGAGGGAAACUUCGGCUAAUACCGCAUGCGCCCGGGGGUAACUCCGGGGAAAGAUUUAUCGCAGAGGGAGGGGCCCGCGUCGGAUUAGGUAGUUGGUGGGGUAACGGCCUACCAAGCCGGUGAUCCGUAGCUGGUCUGAGAGGAUGAUCAGCCACACUGGGACUGAGACACGGCCCAGACUCCUACGGGAGGCAGCAGUGGGGAAUAUUGGACAAUGGGCGCAAGCCUGAUCCAGCAAUGCCGCGUGAGUGAUGAAGGCCUUAGGGUUGUAAAGCUCUUUCGGCGGGGACGAUGAUGACGGUACCGCAGAGAGCCCCGGCUAACUUCGUGCCAGCAGCCGC
rnacentral:rRNA from 1 species